UUCCGGUUGAUCCUGCCGGACCUGACUGCUAUCGGAUUGAUACUAAGCCAUGCGAGUCAUUGUAGCAAUACAAGGCAUACGGCUCAGUAACGCGUAGUCAACCUACCCUAUGGACGGAAAUAACCUCGGGAAACUGAGAAUAAUAUCCGAUAGAACAUUAUGCCUGGAAUGGUUUAUGUUCCAAAUGAUUUAUCGCCGUAGGAUGGGACUGCGGCCUAUCAGUUUGUUGGUGAGGUAAUGGCCCACCAAGACUAUUACAGGUACGGGCUCUGAGAGGAGUAGCCCGGAGAUGGGUACUGAGACACGGACCCAGGCCCUAUGGGGCGCAGCAGGCGAGAAAACUUUGCAAUGUGCGAAAGCACGACAAGGUUAAUCCGAGUGAUUUCUGCUAAAGAAAUCUUUUGUUAGUCCUAGAAACACUAACGAAUAAGGGGUGGGCAAGUUCUGGUGUCAGCCGCCGCGGUAAAACCAGCACCUCAAGUGGUCAGGGUGAUUAUUGGGCCUAAAGCAUCCGUAGCCGGCUCUGUAAGUCCUCGGUUAAAUCUGUACGCUUAACGUACAGGCUGCCGGGAAUACUGCAUAGCUAGGGAGUGGGAGAGGUAGACGGUACUCGGUAGGAAGGGGUAAAAUCCUUUGAUCUAUUGAUGACCACCUGUGGCGAAGGCGGUCUACCAGAACACGUCCGACGGUGAGGGAUGAAAGCUGGGGGAGCAAACCGGAUUAGAUACCCGGGUAGUCCCAGCUGUAAACUAUGCAAACUCAGUGAUGCAUUGGCUUGUGGCCAAUGCAGUGCUGCAGGGAAGCCGUUAAGUUUGCCGCCUGGGAAGUACGUACGCAAGUAUGAAACUUAAAGGAAUUGGCGGGGGAGCACCACAA
rnacentral:rRNA from 2 species